AGCCAAUGCACCUCCAUGCUGAAAACGAUGCAGUAAAAAAAGAAAAGUAAAAGAAACUUCCUCGUUGCUUGGUUGGUAGGUGGAGUUCCUCUUUCCCUCCAAGGGCCCAUGUGCAGUUUUCAGGUCCUGCCUCAAAGUUCCUGUCUUGAGUUCUUGCCUUGGCUGCCCUCUACGUUGAACUGUAACCGAUGCGGACUUCUUCAAACAACAUAUCCUCUCCGUGUGUACUUCAGAUGCCUCCACUGUUUCUGACUGACAGACAAAUGAGACAUUGGAAGGCUG